GAUGAACGCUGGCGGCGUGCCUAAUACAUGCAAGUCGAGCGAACGGACGAGAAGCUUGCUUCUCUGAUGUUAGCGGCGGACGGGUGAGUAACACGUGGAUAACCUACCUAUAAGACUGGGAUAACUUCGGGAAACCGGAGCUAAUACCGGAUGAUAUUUCGAACCGCAUGGUUCAAAAGUGAAAGACGGUCUUGCUGUCACUUAUAGAUGGAUCCGCGCUGCAUUAGCUAGUUGGUAAGGUAACGGCUUACCAAGGCAACGAUGCAUAGCCGACCUGAGAGGGUGAUCGGCCACACUGGAACUGAGACACGGUCCAGACUCCUACGGGAGGCAGCAGUAGGGAAUCUUCCGCAAUGGGCGAAAGCCUGACGGAGCAACGCCGCGUGAGUGAUGAAGGUCUUCGGAUCGUAAAACUCUGUUAUUAGGGAAGAACAUAUGUGUAAGUAACUGUGCACAUCUUGACGGUACCUAAUCAGAAAGCCACGGCUAACUACGUG
rnacentral:rRNA from 1 species